GGCUCUGACACGAGGCUGCAUAUAAGGCAGCUUCUCACUGUCCUUCCAUUUCUUGUUUUACCUCAUUUGGUUAAACCACACAAGCUCAGUGCUCGGAACUUCCGUUGUCUUAUCUUGAACAUCAUGUACUGUUCCAGCCCAGCCAGCCACCCAGGAAGGAAGCGUUCUGUUCCCAUCAGACAGAGGGCCUGGCCGGCAACAUGGCCACGCUGUUGAAAAGCUCUACAAAGAACCUAUCCAGCUGAGCCGAGGGCAGAGAGUAGGGGGACCAUGGACAGGGUCAUGGAAGAAAGCAGCUGUGAUCACCAAGCAGGGCUUCCUGACCAACUACAGACGUGGGGAUGGAGAGGAGGCAGAUUCAUACCCAGCCCACUGGGGAGUUGGUUGCUCUGUCGUCCAUCACCUGCGCCCUAAGAAGUGAUUACAACAUCAGAAAAUGGGCUAGGACGGUGCUCAGCUGGGGAGAUUUAAGAGACAAAUUCCCUUUUCCAAGAAAUUGCCAACCGGUUUUAACUCUUGGAGGCUUGCGUUGGAGUGAGCCGUCCAAUGAGCCAGCCCAGAAAAGCCUGCUGGAGGAUGAGGGGCUAUGUGGAACAGAGAUAAGCCAUCUCAGCUGAGACCAACCUACCCCAGCCAGCCUCCUGAAGAUGCUUGGAAGAGUCCAGAUGAGCUCAGAUGAGCCUGGCCCAGAUUAGUAGAACCACCAAGCUGAUCUGCUGACCAUAGGUUCUAGUAGCAAACAUUCCUGAUUGCUGGUGAAGGAGUUGGGAAUCUUGAUUGAAAAAGCCAGCAAUGGUGACUGUAAUCUUUUCAUUGGCCAUUGAACAGGAGGGAACGUGUGAUCCAUUUCUGACGAUGAGACAGAAGGGGUGCACCCAUGAUGGGGAUUGCUCUUGGUCUCCAUCCGCAGAUAUAGUCAUACCCAAGCUGCUAAGCCCAGUUCCUGUACUCAUCUUGUUGCAGACUAGCAAUGAAGAGUUCACAUCUGAAGUUGGCAUUUUGAGUAACAUUUAUUUAUAAUAAUGUUUCUCAAAAUCUCGUCCCUGGACCAGCAGCACCAGCGUCACCUGGGAACUUGCUACAAAUGCAAGUUCUCAAUCUCCCUUCCAGACGUCAAGAACCAGAAACCCUGGGGAUGGAGUCCACAAAUCUGGACUUUUACCAGCCUUCUGGGUGAUUGUGAGGAUGCCACACAGUUGGACAGGAGAAAAAGCUAACAACAGAAGCUAGUUUCCAGCAACCCUUCAAUAGCACACACAGAAAUGCUCAGCAGGAAGGAAGAUUAGGAGAGGGUUGACAAGACUCCCCGAGAGCAAGGAUCGUGGAGCCCUUGUUCAUGUGUCCACAGGGCCUGGCUCAUUAUAGAUGCUCAGUGGAUCUUAAGGGAAUGGGUGAGUAGAUGAAUGGACAAAUGGAAAAGUGAAAUUUGAUGAGCUAGAACUUUGUAAAAGGAUGUUCUGAUUAAUUGGCUUUCUGAUUAAUUGGCAAAUCUUUCACUUUCCUGAAAAAGUGUGUUUUGUUUUUCAUCUAGUUUGACUGAAUUUUUAUUCAUUGCAAACCAAAGGUCACCUGAAUAAAAGACAGCUAUGUUCAAGUGCAAUGCAUUCAAAUUACAUCUCUUCUAAAGGACGUGUUGCUCAAGUGUCUCAGGUCACAUAAAAGAGUAUAAAAUAGGGAAUUUCAUUUGGGAGACUUUAUUACUGAGAAUGAAUUUUAUUGCAAACCACAUUCAGAGAAAAGCAGAUAAAAGGAUUAUAAUCCAUGAAACAUGGCAAACAUAUGCUAUUAUUUUGGGUGAAAUGUCAUUAUUUUCACUACCAAUACGUAAAUUAAGUACACCCACAUUUGGCAUUGCCAUGAACAUAAUUGGUAAAAUGGUUCUAAUGAGAAGCUCAGAGUUAUUCAGACAGGAUUUAUCAAACAGAAAUAGGAAAAUUAAGCAAGGAAAAUCAUAUAAUAUAAAAAACAAAUGAGAGAAAAGUGAAAAACAUCCAGCAAUUAGUUUAGGUAUACAGGGCCAAGCAGUUGGAAUGAUGGGUUCACAGAAAUUGACUGAUUUUUUGCCUGAAACUUUGUUGGUACAAUGCCAAGACAACCCAUCAGUUUGAAUUGUUCAGUCCUAAAUUGACUGAAUUGACCAGUCAUUUGGAAUGCCUUGAGAAUCUGUCUAUAACAUGUCUGUUUUGAAUACAGUGCCUGUCCUGCUUUAGGAAUAUCUUCAGACACGUACCACUCCUACUUAAUGGAGAAUAAAUGCUCUGUAGCCACGUAAAUUCAAGGAGACUACCAGCACCAACAAGAAAGCUCCAGUAUCUGCAACAUUUCUGUGAUCCAGGUCAUCUCAUACUGGAGAAACUGAUGACUUUUUCUAAAACAAAACCUUGAAGAGUGACCUAAGUUCAAAACUUAACUCUCCCUCUUUAGCCUUAGGGUUGCCCUCCAUGAAAUGGGAAUAACAAGUUCUUUAUAGAUUUUGGAUACUAGCCCUUUAUCUGAUAUGUCAUUUGCAAAUA